UACGAAGGGGGCUAGCGUUGCUCGGAAUGACUGGGCGUAAAGGGCGCGUAGGCGGCGAUCAAAGUCAGGCGUGAAAUUCCUGGGCUCAACCUGGGGGCUGCGCUUGAUACUUGGUUGCUUGAGUGGGGAAGAGGGUCGUGGAAUUCCCAGUGUAGAGGUGAAAUUCGUAGAUAUUGGGAAGAACACCGGUGGCGAAGGCGGCGACCUGGUCCUUGACUGACGCUGAGGCGCGAAAGCGUGGGGGAGCAAACAGG
rnacentral:rRNA from 1 species